ACAGGCCUGCCAGCUAAAGACAGAAACCAUCACCUAYGAAGAGAAGGAGCAGCAGCUUGUCAAAAACUGUGUGAAGGAGCUGAGGGAUGCCAACGUGCAGAUUGCCAGCAUCUCAGAGGAGCUGGCCAAGAAGACUGAAGAUGCUGCCCGCCAGCAAGAGGAGAUCACGCACUUGCUGUCACAGAUCGUCAACUUGCAGAAAAAGGCAAAAGCUUGUGCAGUGGAAAAUGAGGAACUCGUCCAACACCUGGGAGCUGCCAAGGAUGCCCAGCAGCAGCUCACGGCUGAGGUGGGUGUGUCUCCCUUACCUCUUGAGGGCUUUUGGUUCCAGUGAAGGUAGAGCAUAUUCCCUUGACAGGCUUUGUUCAUGUCCAUGGUAAAAACUGUUUUUAUUGUUGGUGUUGUUGUUUGUACUAGGGGUUGAACCCAGAAAUGCUUAACCACUGAGCCACAUCCCCAGCCCUUUUUACUUUUCAUUUUGAGACAGGAUCUCACUAAGUUGCU
rnacentral:lncRNA from 1 species